rnacentral:rRNA from 1 species
UACAGGGGGUGCAAACGUUGCUCGGAAUCAUUGGGCGUAAAGCGCACGUAGGCGGUUCGUUAUGUCGGAUGUGAAAGCCCUUGGCUUAACCGAGGAAGUGCAUCCGAAACUGGCGAGCUAGAGUACUAAAGAGGAUCGCGGAAUUCCCGGUGUAGAGGUGAAAUUCGUAGAUAUCGAGAGGAAUACCUGUGGCGAAGGCGGCCAACUGGACGAGUACUGACGCUGAGACACGAAAGCGUGGGGAGCAAACAGG